CCUACGGGAGGCAGCAGUAGGGAAUCUUCCACAAUGGGCGAAAGCCUGAUGGAGCAACGCCGCGUGAGUGAUGAAGGUUUUCGGAUCGUAAAACUCUGUUGUUAGGGAAGAACACCCGGGAGAGGAUCCCGGUUUGACGGUACCUAACGAGAAAGCCCCGGCUAACUACGUGCCAGCAGCCGCGGUAAU
rnacentral:rRNA from 1 species